AAUUAUCACUUCACCCAAUUUUUUAAGUGAAUAAAAUAACCUUGUCUACAUUUGGGAGUUGCACAACUAAGCUUAAGUUACUGAAGUGAUUCAAACAUUG